AUGAAAACACUGAGGCUCAGAGAGGUGAAGUCAUUUGCCCAAGAGCAGACCAUCAGGAAAAUGGCAGAGGCAGGAUUUGAACUCAGGCCUCAUCUACUUCCACAAGUGAGAAGACCAGCGCAGCAGGGAUUUUUGUCCAGGGAAGGCUCCUCAGGAAGGAGGAAGGGAUCAGAAGCGGGAUCAGGUGCCAGGCUCACCCUCCCACCUGAAAAGCGUCCCCUAAUGGGGGCCGCCAUGUUGAUGCUCUGGGACCCGCCUCCUCCACCACAGCUGAUUGGGGGAGAACCAGGUCACCUGACUCAAGCUAAGCCAAUCAGAUUCCUAACCCCCCCCCCCCCACAAAGAAGCCACUCUUGCAUCUUUGACAUGGAAGGUAGCCGGGCUGGGAUUAAGGCGCUCGUUUCUCAACAGUGUGACCUCAGGCAACUUGGACCUCUCUGUGGUUUGGUUUCCUUCUCUGGAAGUCGGAAGGAUGAAAGCAGCGCCUUCCUCCAUGGCCUCUGCGGGAUUAUGCGAAAUCCUGGUGGCGACGCUUUUUGCCCAAGAGCUGACACGCAGAAAAUGGCUGGGCAAACAGCAGCCGGCUUUGCUGGUGGUACGGACGGAGCGAUGGGACUUGUGGCCGUGCAGGGGCCACCUCCUGCCUUCUAUGUCCUGGAUCCUUCCCCAGAGGAUGCUGAGGGGUUGGUCUUGAGUGGUUUUGCCUUCCAGCAGACUCAGGAGCCCAGCCGUCAGUGGGCAUGGGAGAGAAGAGUCGGGGGUAAGCCUCUGAGAGGACAGAGCGGCCAAUCCAGUGGUGUAAUCAGGCCAAGUUACGAAGUGAGACCCCCCCCCCCCCGGCCUGGACACACCAGAGUGGGGGUGGCGUCUCCCAAGGUAUUUCAUUUUAAAAAUACACUUAUGUGGACGUUCCCACUGUGGUGCAGCAGGACUGGUGGUGUCCCCGCAGAGCCAAGAUGCAGGUUCGAUCCCCGGCCUGGCACAGUGGGGUAA
rnacentral:lncRNA from 1 species